GCUUCCUUGGCUCAGUUGGUAGAGCGUUGGUCUCAUAUUAAUACUAUGACGCAAUAAUUAGAUUGUGACAUCCAAAGGUCGUGAGUUCGAGCCUCACAGGGAGCA